AAGCAGGAUUCAGACUACAACAUGGCUGUUCAGUGCUGUGCUGUCAUGCCUCCUGCUCAAAAUAAAGUUGUUUCUCAACUAUACUUGUCUUCUAUACCUGUGUAGUAGCCAGGGAUGCGUGGUCUUAUACAU
rnacentral:snoRNA from 1 species